UGAGGUGUGAGUGAGUCCAACCCUGAGGGUCUUCCCAAGCUGGAGGUCCCUGGGUGUAGACGGAAGAGGUUCUGGUCAAAGAGGCCUGGUGUUGAAUCCUGGUCCAUUUAUUCAUUUGGUCAAGAAAUAUUCACGGAGGACCCACUAUGUGCCAGGUGCCAAGCCAGGUGACUGGGGACACAGUGUUGAGUGGGACAGUUGGCUCCUUCACUGCUAGAGAACUGUUAAGAGUCUGAGACUUCAUCCUAUUUGCAGACUAAAAAGUAAGCCUGCCACAGUGCCAUGGAUACUGGCAGAAGAUACAAGACUCCUGGGUCAGAGACAACGAAUAAUCUGUUUUUCACAGCAAUAGCAGUUGCCAAGGUAUCAGCAUUGUCUUGCACCAGUUCCACAAGGUGAUGCAAAGAGGGCCAGGUGACAUCUGCAUGCCAGAGCUCAGGGAUCCCAAAUAUUUCAUACUUGACAGUAAGCAUAUAUCUGUGUUUUGCUCCAAAGAGAGGCAUUCUCUGUACCUUCCGAGGUUGUUCACUCUACAAACACUCUUGAAAAGAUAAUCCACAAUCAGUGCCUUUGCCCGAGAGACAUGCAGAAAUGCAGAGAUCCAUAGUAGACCACUGUCUC
rnacentral:lncRNA from 1 species